rnacentral:rRNA from 1 species
CAUGCAGUCGAACGAUGAACCACUUCGGUGGGGAUUAGUGGCGAACGGGUGAGUAACACGUGGGCAAUCUGCCCUGCACUCUGGGACAAGCCCUGGAAACGGGGUCUAAUACCGGAUACUGAUCCUCGCAGGCAUCUGCGAGGUUCGAAAGCUCCGGCGGUGCAGGAUGAGCCCGCGGCCUAUCAGCUAGUUGGUGAGGUAACGGCUCACCAAGGCGACGACGGGUAGCCGGCCUGAGAGGGCGACCGGCCACACUGGGACUGAGACACGGCCCAGACUCCUACGGGAGGCAGCAGUGGGGAAUAUUGCACAAUGGGCGAAAGCCUGAUGCAGCGACGCCGCGUGAGGGAUGACGGCCUUCGGGUUGUAAACCUCUUUCAGCAGGGAAGAAGCGAAAGUGACGGUACCUGCAGAAGAAGCGCCGGCUAACUACGUGCCAGCAGCCGCGGUAAUACGUAGGGCGCAAGCGUUGUCCGGAAUUAUUGGGCGUAAAGAGCUCGUAGGCGGCUUGUCACGUCGGUUGUGAAAGCCCGGGGCUUAACCCCGGGUCUGCAGUCGAUACGGGCAGGCUAGAGUUCGGUAGGGGAGAUCGGAAUUCCUGGUGUAGCGGUGAAAUGCGCAGAUAUCAGGAGGAACACCGGUGGCGAAGGCGGAUCUCUGGGCCGAUACUGACGCUGAGGAGCGAAAGCGUGGGGAGCGAACAGGAUUAGAUACCCUGGUAGUCCACGCCGUAAACGGUGGGCACUAGGUGUGGGCAACAUUCCACGUUGUCCGUGCCGCAGCUAACGCAUUAAGUGCCCCGCC